rnacentral:rRNA from 1 species
GGCUCAGGACGAACGCUGGCGGCGCGCUUAACACAUGCAAGUCGAGCGAGAACCAGGGCUUCGGCCCCGGGGACAGCGGCGAACGGGUGAGUAACACGUGGGUAAUCUGCCCUCGGUACUGGGAUAGCCCGGGGAAACCCGGAUUAAUACCGGAUGGCCCUUCGAGUUUUCGAAUUCGAAGGAAAAGGUAGCUUCGGCCUCCGACCGAGGAUGAGCCCGCGGCGGAUUAGCUUGUUGGUGGGGUAACGGCCUACCAAGGCGACGAUCCGUAGCUGGUCUGAGAGGACGAUCAGCCACACUGGGACUGAGACACGGCCCAGACUCCUACGGGAGGCAGCAGUGGGGAAUCUUGCCCAAUGGGCGAAAGCCUGAGGCAGCGACGCCGCGUGCGGGAAGAAGGCCUUCGGGUUGUAAACCGCUUUCAGGAGGGACGAAGCCACUCGGGUUAAUAGCCCAGAGGGUGACGGUACCUCCAGAAGAAGCCCCGGCUAACUACGUGCCAGCAGCCGCGGUAAUACGUAGGGGGCAAGCGUUGUCCGGAUUUAUUGGGCGUAAAGAGCGUGUAGGCGGCUAGGUAGGUCCGUUGUGAAAACUCGAGGCUCAACCUCGAGACGUCGAUGGAAACCAUCUAGCUAGAGUCCGGAAGAGGAGAGUGGAAUUCCUGGUGUAGCGGUGAAAUGCGCAGAUAUCAGGAAGAACACCCGUGGCGAAGGCGGCUCUCUGGGACGUGACUGACGCUGAGACGCGAAAGCGUGGGGAGCGAACAGGAUUAGAUACCCUGGUAGUCCACGCCGUAAACGAUGGGUGCUAGGUGUGGGCGGUGUCGACUCCGUCCGUGCCGAAGCUAACGCAUUAAGCACCCCGCCUGGGGGAGUA